rnacentral:ncRNA from 1 species
UGCGCAACGCGUGGCGCAACACGAUAUUGGGAAAGCUGACGCCCUUGAGGCGCGCCGUGCGGACAUAUUGCUGCGUCAUGACUUCGGUCAUCGACGCGCGGGUGAUCCGUGCGACAUAGCCCAUACCGUAAAGUGCGACGGUCAUCACCGGCAGCGCGAAAUUCCAGAAGGUAAUGUUG